UCAUCGUACCAAUAAUAUCAUGGAUAGAACAAGCAGAUGUUAGAAAAGAUAAAAGGAUAUUCCUUCUGUUCCAAAAUAUUUGAUGUUUUGAGUGUAUGCACAAGAAUUAAGGUAUACACUUUUUUUCUAAAAAAACAUUAAAAAUAUAAACCAAAAUUAAUUCAUCAAAUCCUUAAAAAUAAAUAUAAAACAUCACUGGUCACACAGUUUUCGAUAAAAUUUAAACUAAUAUAAAAUAUCAAAACAUCAUCUAUUUUGAAACAUCAUAACAUUUCUAAAACAUCAUCUAUUUUGGAACAGAGGGAGUAAAAUAUAAGACAAAGCAUUCCUCCGAGCUCAAAGGAACGUGAUCAAGCACCAACCCAAAAAACCCAAAAACCCCAAAAAGGUGAGAGAAAGAAUAAUCACCAGGAGACCAGAGUCACCACGAAACAAGAAGACACAUGCCUCAAGCACCGGAAUCACAACCACCUGCUAAAAGGUAAGAAGCACCUCACAAACUAAACAAACACAUACAAGACGUUCAUGCCAGCGAAGAACCACAAAGCUCUAAGUAGAAGAGACCAAAGCUCCAAAGACUAACUCUGCACACCUACACCAAGGAAAGCAAGAGAAGAAAAGAAACAACCUGAGGGAGGAGAAUAGAAGCCUACCACCGAAAAACAAGAGCUCAAACUUUAGACUAGAAAUAACCUUCCAAGCACACAAAGCAUACACAGAAGAAAACACUAUCCAAACCUGGAGUAGCGAAUAUGGCGAAAAAAGAGCCACCAGAGAAGCGAGCAGCAAUGAAAGGUGCAACAAGAUGAGAGAACAAAGAUAUAAAAGGAGACGAAAAAAAUCAUCAAACCGUGGAGCCAUCCUCGAGCUAUAAAAAAGAGCAUAGAAGUCAAAUCACCAAAAACCAGAUCUUGAAAACCAAGACGAGCAGAGACUGUCGACGGCAAGUCAACGAGAGGAAGACAACAUCAAAGACAACUGAACUCCAACCCAACCCAACGAGAUGUAGUUCCUAAAAUUAGCCAAAAUCUAAAAAAGAAGAGGACCAAUAUUGACCAAAACAACCUACAACAUAGUGAAAAACAACCGCACAAUUGGGAAUUCGUAAGCAUGAUCUAUAACAAAUACCAGAUAAUAUCACAAGAGA
rnacentral:lncRNA from 1 species